rnacentral:rRNA from 1 species
CCUACGGGAGGCAGCAGUGGGGAAUAUUGCACAAUGGGGGAAACCCUGAUGCAGCGCCGCCGCGUGAGUGAAGAAGUAUUACGGUAUGUAAAGCUCUAUCAGCAGGGAAGACAAUGACGGUACCUGAGUAAGAAGCCCCGGCUAACUACGUGCCAGCAGCCGCGGUAAUACGUAGGGGGCAAGCGUUAUCCGGAUUUACUGGGUGUAAAGGGAGCGUAGACGGCAGCGCAAGUCUGAAGUGAAAUGCCGGGGCUUAACCCCGGGACUGCUUUGGAAACUGUGCAGCUAGAGUGCAGGAGAGGUAAGUGGAAUUCCUAGUGUAGCGGUGAAAUGCGUAGAUAUUAGGAGGAACACCAGUGGCGAAGGCGGCUUACUGGACUGUAACUGACGUUGAGGCUCGAAAGCGUGGGGAGCAAACAGGAUUAGAUACCCCGGUAGUC